UUCUGAUUUUUUUUUUUUUGCUUUUCUUGAACCCCCCAAAAUAGACAUUUUUCUUCCGCGCGAACGAUCCCUGAUCACUGCAUUUGGACCCUGACAACUUCAUGUCAAACUUGCUGCCAAACAAUGAACCCCGUUCUCCAUUUUCCCAUGCUAAUUCCGUUGGCAAUGCCGGAAAUAACACCAACCACCACUCUGAUGGCGACAUAUCAGAGGGUACACGACCAGACAUUUACCGAUGACUGGGAAGGAACUCGACGUUGCUAAUUCCGUUGGCAAUGCCGGAAAUAACACCAACCACCACUCUGAUGGCGACAUAUCAGAGGGUACACGACCAGACAUUUACCGAUGACUGGGAAGGAACU
rnacentral:lncRNA from 1 species